AUGGCGUUUUGGGAGGAUGGGUGCUGCGCGCCGCGAAGCGCACACAAAGACAGCAUCUGCUGCAUUGCAACUGGAGGAUUUAAAUGCAACAAGCUUUUCAAAACCCGUAUAUUUUCAAACCAAGCCUUGGUAAGAAUGACACUACCACAUCAAUCACAAGCACAGACUGGCUAUAAAAUUACAAAACCACUCAAGCCGUCUGUAUAAUUAAACACAAACCAAAGCAAUCAAGCAAAUGUUAAAGAAAAUAUCUUCAUAUUGUAAACUUUAUAGGUAAAGGCAUGUAUCUGCUGUCUCUAAUUGAGAAAGUCUGUGUCUUUAAUAGAUGCACUUUAUUAUUGCUUUGCACUCUUUUAAAUAGCAUGCUAGCUGGUAAAUGCUGAAAUAUCAGCUGGUAUAGUCUGUGCUGUGUAGAAUUCAGGAUCUAAAAUACAAAUGCCAAAGGAUUAAGGAAAGGAGGUGCAGAACAGAAGUGAAGUGGCUGACAAUAAUGCUGGGUGUGCCUGAUAAUGCCGGCCUUCGUCUGGGUGCCUUUCUUUUACUUGGUUACAUAAUUCUCCCCAGCUGCUAGCAUUGCCGUUGCUAGCUGGGUAGUUUCUUGGAGGCAUUUGGAAGACAGAAGUGAAACUCUCAAUCUAGGUUAAUUGCAAUGCUUACGUGAUGUUGGUGUGCCAGAUUCUGUGCUGCAAACCUCAGGAGGACCCACGCAGUAAGCAUAGCUUGGAGAGCAAGGACAAAGUGACCUGAAGUUUCCUGUUGCUUCUUUCUGCAUUUAGGCUAAGUGUGGGGCUACGCAGCCCAUGGGCAUACGUCAUAGCACUCCCAAAGGCUGAUCUGAUUUAUGAGAUCCUCCCUGUCUUGCUGUCAAUAGGCUGCUGAUACUGCCCAUGAUACCUUAGAGAAGAAAAGGAUUUCUGCUGCUCACUUUUCUGCUGUGUGCAUUCUCCCCAGCGCUUCCUUUGCAUGACACAUUGUACAGGUUAAAAAAUUGGAAGCAUGCAUAAUAUAAAGCUGCUAGUCCUUCAGCAGUGCUGGUGGCAUCUUCUCAAAGCUGUUUGUGCCACCUUUUAAUUCUGACAGGGGAACAAAGAGAAUUAGGAUUGACUCAGUCCUGUCAUCUGYGUGCUAGUAAAUAUUUCUCUCCUCCACUGAACCCUUACCCAUAUGAAUACAAGCAUUUCUGAUAGUUUGUUCGGGGUUUAAGAUCAAACAUGUAAACACCUGCUUUCUGAAAUGAAACCCAAAACCCAGAACUGGGUAAACAGGCAUGAGGAGAGUCAGAAAUUUUAGAAAGACGUGCCAAACUGUAUACUGGACAGAACUAAUUAACAAGAAAUAUUCUGGAAAUCCUAUGUUUUCUUAGAUCAUAUGUACUUCUGAACUGAUAUAUCCAUCCUGAACCAAUCUGGAAUUCUUAGCAGAGUGAGAACCCACAUGUAGUCUCUGAAAUAAUGUUGUCUUGGGCAUCCUAGGCCCCUUCUUUUUUCCUUCCUUUGGGUAUUCUUGCCGUAUCACCUCCAAAUAAAGGUCCUAACCACUGUCUUACA
ensembl:lncRNA